CCUACGGGCGGCAGCAGUGGGGAAUAUUGGGCAAUGGGCGCAAGCCUGACCCAGCAACGUCGCGUGAAGGAAGAAGGCCCUCGGGUUGUAAACUUCUUUUAUUCGGGACGAAACAAAUGACGGUACCGCAUGAAUAAGCCACGGAUAACUACGUGCCAGCAGCCGCGGUAAUACGUAGGCGGCAAGCGUUAUCCGGAUUUACUGGGUGUAAAGGGAGUGUAGGUGGGAGGGCAAGGCAGAUGUGAAAGUGCAGGGCUCAACCCUGGAAGUGCGUUUGAAACUGGUCUUCUUGAGUUAAGGAGAGGCAGGCGGAAUUCCGUGUGUAGCGGUGAAAUGCGUAGAUAUAACGAAGAACACCGAUGGCGAAGGCAGCCUACUAGACUGUGACUGACACUGAGGCGCGAAAGCGUGGGUAGCAAACAGGAUUAGAUACCCCUGUAGUC
rnacentral:rRNA from 1 species